UCGCUAGUAAUACGCAAAUCAGAAUGUUGCGGUGAAUACGUUCUCGGGUCUUGUACACACCGCCCGUCACACCAUGGGAGUCGGAUAUGCCCGAAGCCAGUGACCUAACCGCAAGGAAGGAGCUGUCGAAGGUGGAGCCGAUAACUGGGGUGAAGUCGUAACAAGGUAUC
rnacentral:rRNA from 1 species